rnacentral:rRNA from 1 species
UACGGGGGGGGCAAGCGUUGUUCGGAAUUACUGGGCGUAAAGGGCUCGUAGGCGGCCAACUAAGUCAGACGUGAAAUCCCUCGGCUUAACCGGGGAACUGCGUCUGAUACUGGAUGGCUAGAGGUUGGGAGAGGGAUGCGGAAUUCCAGGUGUAGCGGUGAAAUGCGUAGAUAUCAGGAAGAACACCAAUGGCGAAGGCAGCUCUCUGGGACGGUACUGACGCUGAGACGCGAAAGCGUGGGGAGCGAACAGG